rnacentral:tRNA from 1 species
GCCGAAGUGGCGGAAUGGUAGACGCGCACGGUUUAGGACCGUGUAGAGUAAUCUGUGGAGGUUCAAGUCCUCUCUUCGGCA